rnacentral:rRNA from 1 species
AAUGAACGCUGGCGGCAUGCCUUACACAUGCAAGUCGAACGGUAACGCGCCUUUGGGUGUCGACGAGUGGCGAACGGGUGCGUAAUACAUCGGAAAGUGCCCCAUCGUUGGGGGUAACGAGGCGAAAGCUUUGCUAAUACCCCAUACGAUCUACGGAUGAAAGCAGGGGACCGCAAGAGCUUGCGCGGACUUAGCGGGCGAUGGGAGAUUAGGUAGUUGGUGGGAUAAAAGCUUACCAAGCCGCCGCUCUGUAGCUGCUCUGAGAGGAGGAGCAGGCACACUGGGACUGAGACACCGCCCAGACUCCUACGGGAGGCAGCAGUGGGGAAUUUUGGACAAUGGGGGCAAGCCUGAUCCAGCCAUGCCGCGUGGAGGAUGAAGGCCUUCGGGUUGUAAACUGCUUUUGUACGGGACAAAAAGCCUUCGUAUAAUACAGGAGGGUCAUGACGGUACCGUAAGAAUAAGCACCGGCUAACUACGUG